rnacentral:rRNA from 1 species
GAUUAACGCUGGCGGCGUGCAUAACACAUGCAAGUCGAACGAUGAAACUUAAAUGAUUUCUUCGGAAUGAACUUAAGUGGAUUAGUGGCGGACGGGUGAGUAACGCGUGAGUAACCUGCCUUACACAAGGGGAUAGCCGUUGGAAACGACGAAUAAUACCCUAUGAAACUAUCAUUUCGCAUGAAGCGAUAGUCAAAGUGUUAGCGGUGUAAGAUGGACUUGCGUCUGAUUAGCUAGUUGGUGAGAAAAAAGCCCACCAAGGCAACGAUCAGUAGCCGGCUUGAGAGAGUGUACGGCCACAUUGGGACUGAGACACGGCCCAGACUCCUACGGGAGGCAGCAGUGGGGAAUUUUGCACAAUGGGGGAAACCCUGAUGCAGCGACGCCGCGUGAUUUAGAAGGCCUUCGGGUUGUAAAAAUCUUUUGUAUAGGAAGAAAAUGACAGUACUAUACGAAUAAGGUCCGGCUAAUUACGUG